CGCAACCCUCGCUGUGUGUUAUAUGUGUCACACGGGACUGCCGGUCUUUAAGCCCGGGAGGAAGGUGGGGAUGAUGUCAAGUCAGCAUGGCCUUUAUAUCCUGGGCUACACACACGCUACAAUGGCCAACACAAUAGGUUGCUAAGCCGCGAGGUGGCGCCAAUCCAUAAAGUUGGUCUCAGUUCAGAUUGUAGGCUGCAACCCGCCUGCAUGAAGAUGGAGUUGCUAGUAACCGCAGGUCAGCUAUACUGCGGUGAAUACGUUCCCGGGGCUU
rnacentral:rRNA from 1 species